rnacentral:rRNA from 1 species
AUUGAACGCUGGCGGCAUGCCUUACACAUGCAAGUCGAACGGCAGCACGGGUGCUUGCACCUGGUGGCGAGUGGCGAACGGGUGAGUAAUACAUAGGAACGUACCUUAUCGUGGGGGAUAACGCAGCGAAGGCUGUGCUAAUACCGCAUACGCCCUGAGGGGGAAAGCGGGGGAUCGCAAGACCUCGCGCGAUCAGCGCGGCAGUUGCCUAAUUAGCUUGUUGGUGGGGUAAAAGCCCACCAAGGCAACGAUCAGUAGCUGGUUUGAGAGGACGAUCAGCCACACUGGGACUGAGACACGGCCCAGACUCCAACGGGAGGCAGCAGUGGGGAAUUUUGGACAAUGGGGGCAACCCUGAUCCAGCAAUGCCGCGUGAGUGAAGAAGGCCUUCGGGUUGUAAAGCUCUUUUGUCAGGGAAGAAACACCGGCUCUAACACAGUCCGGGAAUGACGGUACCUGAAGAAUAAGCACCGGCUAACUACGUGCCAGCCGCCGCGGUAACAC